AACCCGAACUAAUAAAACUACGGCGUAAAGCGUGUUUAAUAUAUAAUCAUAUUAAUAAAGCCGAAUUAUAACUAAUCCGUAAAAAGUCUUAGUUACAGUAAGACCACUAACGAAAGUAGCUUUAAAUUCAAUGAUCCCACGACAGCUAAGACCCAAACUGGGAUUAGAUACCCCACUAUGCUUAGCCUUAAACCCAAAAAGUUAAAACUAACAAAACUACUCGCCAGAGUACUACUAGCCAAAGCCUGAAACUCAAAGGACUUGGCGGUGCUUUACAUCCCUCUAGAGGAGCCUGUUCUAUAAUCGAUAACCCCCGAUAAACCUCACCAAUCCUGGCCAAUU
rnacentral:rRNA from 1 species